AUCGUUUGUCCACGUACUGACAGAUCCUUUGCCAAAAGCUUCAAAUUCUGCGGGAGACACACAAAAGGUUUGCACCGAUGCUUACUAUCUUCUGACGCUCUUGAAUCUACCGGGGAAGUGCAGAUGAAACCCACGGCAAAAGUUGGAAACCAACACGCCGUUUCGCUUUAACAAUAAAUGCAGCCAAGGACACGUUCAAGCAUUAUUGUUUCACGCGGGCUUUCCGAGAGAACAAAUGCGCUGCAAAUGCAACUCGGGUGUGGGCGGCAGCUCUCGUGCUCCAAUGUCGUUUUCUUUGUACACCAUUGACGCUACACUGGUUAGACCAGUGUGUAGAACUUACUUCUAGCGUGCCAAAGCAAGGUGUACGUUGAAAAAUCAAGCAUGUAGUACAUGGCGCAUAUGAUGAGGC